rnacentral:rRNA from 1 species
UACAGAGGGUGCGAGCGUUAAUCGGAAUUACUGGGCGUAAAGGGAGCGUAGGCGGGUUAUCAAGUUGGAGGUGAAAGCCCAGGGCUCAACCUUGGAAUUGCCUUCAAAACUGAUAGCCUAGAGUAUGAUAGAGGUAAGUGGAACUCCGAGUGUAGAGGUGAAAUUCGUAGAUAUUCGGAAGAACACCAGUGGCGAAGGCGACUUACUGGAUCAUGACUGACGCUGAGGCUCGAAAGCGUGGGGAGCAAACAGG